rnacentral:rRNA from 1 species
GAUGAACGCUGGCGGCGUGCCUAAUACAUGCAAGUCGAGCGAACAGACGAGGAGCUUGCUCCUCUGACGUUAGCGGCGGACGGGUGAGUAACACGUGGAUAACCUACCUAUAAGACUGGGAUAACUUCGGGAAACAGGAGCUAAUACCGGAUAAUAUAUUGAACCGCAUGGUUCAAUAGUUAAAGACGCUUUUGCUUUCACUUAUAGAUGGAUCCGCGCCGCAUUAGCUAGUUGGUAAGGUAACGGCUUACCAAGGCAACGAUGCGUAGCCGACCUGAGAGGGUGAUCGGCCACACUGGAACGGAGACACGGUCCAGACUCCUACGGGAGGCAGCAGUAGGGAAUCUUCCGCAAUGGGCGAAAGCCUGACGGAGCAACGCCGCGUGAGUGAUGAAGGUCUUCGGAUCGUAAAACUCUGUUAUUAGGGAAGAACAAAUGUGUAAGUAACUAUGCACGUCUUGACGGUACCUAAUCAGAAAGCCACGGCUAACUACGUG